UCUCUGCAAAAGGAAAAGGCGACCUCACAGAAAUGGGGUCUGAUAAUGGGAGUUGCAGAAGCAAUUCAUGGCAGCAGCUCUUUGAGAAAGAGAUCUGGAAUUCGUUAAUUUUCAGGAUGCCGAGUUCGAUCUCUUCCUACAAAUUCGAACAUCAACUCCAGUACCUGAAGGUGCUUAUCAAGUCAAGAAGCAUGAAUGGAAUCUGAGAUCCUGAGAGGGUAAUUUUGCUUGAGACAGUGGUGCUGAUUGAGUUAUUGGCAUGAUUGAACUUGGGGCUGUGGGAUCGAUUAGCAUCUCAGUUAGAGGUGUAAACUGGUGAAAGCAACAUCAAGAUCUGAAGGUACAAAAGUCCAGAAUGGAGAGUUCUGUGGGUAUUUGAGUGAAUUGCAUAUUAUGGUGAUUGAAUUUGGGUACAGAUGGAAGAGAUUCAUGGUGAUUCUACAACAACAACAUCAAUGAUUGAUUGACCUAAUUCUGGUGUUAGCUAAUGGUGAUGAUUGUGUGGAUAAUUCUGCUGAUGAGAAUGAAGACGAGAUACUUGCAAGUCGAUGUUGAUUACAAGUGAAGACAAGUCAGAAUUUGGGAGUUUUGGCAUCGAUUGAUAUUCUCCAUUGAUAAACAGCAACAGCAGCAGAUACAAUUUGGGGGAAUUGAUCGAUUGUCUUUGAGCCGAAAUCCAGAUGAGAGCUGUGUUUGAGAUAGAGAAGACUCGAUUGACGAGUUUGUUGGCUGGAGUGGAUCUGUUAUAAGGGGUUAUUGGCAUGGUCUGAAACUUGAGUUAGUGGUGAUCUGUUUAAUGGUAACAACAGCCACAUCAAUGGGUUCAGUUGUAUGCAGACAUGGUAAUGUCCUUGAGUCUGAAAUGGAGUUGUAUGGGUAAUUGGAUGGAGUUCGUGCAACCAGUGGUAAUGAAAUUUGGAAAUGGUGCUUAGUAUAUGGAAAUAGAGAUGGAGUCGAACUGGGACAGAGAUGGGAAGUGGUGCUGGUGAUGUGCAACAGCCAAGUAGAAAAACUUGAUGCUCAGAUGGGAUACAGAACAAGAAGGUGUUGUGGUUGGAGCAGGUUCAGAUAAUGGAAAGUGAUGUUGUGGACCAGCAGCUGGAUUGGGCUCGGUUAAGGCUUUCUCUGACCAACUUGGAUCCUUGAGAGCAAGUUUAAAUAACCAGCGAUAAGAAGAAAGAAAGUGGGGCCGUCAACAGGGAACAAAACAAGGGUUUGCUGCUUUAGUUUUCUUCUUGCUAUGUUUUGCUAGAUUUCCAUGUUAGGGCGACAGAUGAACUUGUAGAUGUUAGUUUAUUUUGUGUUCUAAAACAAAGUCAGUUUUUAGUGCUUAAUGAAUGUUUGAGUGUCUCAAUUGAUGGUUUUGAUUUAUAACCCUUUCAUGUUUUAUGCCAAGUAUACUUCAUAGUUCGGUAUUAAACCAUUCCAUUCUAGACCUGAUUCAUUAUUGUCUAUGAUAAUUAUUUGACUAUCUAUGCCAUGUAUAGUUAGUGCUUCGGAUAUCUACAUUUAGGUCGAGACCAGCUGGUGUUGCAAUGGAAUUGGAAUGGGUAUUUGCAGUUACCUGUGAUGGCAAGCUGGUGUUGCAGGUGAUGUUGCAAUGUAAUUAGAAUGGGUAUUUGCAGUGAGGUUGUAUCUGCUUAAGCCAUUUGAUGUUGCUGACAAAUUUGCUGAAUUAAGUGCUACUGAAAUUAAAGGAGGAGAGGAGAGUAUCUAGAGAGUUGUCUUGCCAGAUACAUGAUGAAGCGAAAAAGUUCUCUUAUCAGACUGGUGUUAAAGUCGCUGUUGCAUAUGGUGGAGCACCAAUGCACAAGCAGGGAUGCCAUUCAUGCUAGAGAUUUAGAACACCAGCAGGCAUGGUCUCGAGUUCAAAGUCCAUAAUCUUAACUGGAUGAACAUGGCUUGGAGAUCUGGUUUACAAUCUCCUAUGCGUUCAAGAGAUGCAGCUCCAAUACAGACACCGCCUGUCGUUGAGCCUUGGUGCCGAGAUAUUCUUAGUUUGUCUAUGGAAUGUCAACUGAUAGUGCAUGACUUUUCACAAAAUCUCAAGGAUGUGGUGCAGCAGCAACAGGUAACAACUUCUGUAACGGAACGAUUAUUGGUGCACAACAUUUUGCAGCAGCUGUUGUUGCUUAAAUGGUUUUUUCCGUAAACUAAGCAUCUCCUCUUGAUGGUGAUGGGCACGAAAGGUUUGUGUUUGCCUGGGAUUCUCAUCACUGAUACCAGCAAGUCAAUGGUGAGCAGUUACACGAUUCCAAAUUCGAAUCAGCACAGUUGCAUACUAGGGUGAAUGUUCUCAUAUACAUCUUAAUCUUUUUAGAGUGUGUUUUGGAAACUCCACUUUUGUAACAAACAUCUAUAUCACUGCCAUUUUUUGAAUGUGUGUUUAAGACUAGCAGGUUAACUUGAAUGAAUGUAAAUGUGUUACACUGGUACGUUAAUGCGAAUGCGAAUUAUUUUCGGCAA